rnacentral:rRNA from 1 species
UACAGAGGUCCCAAGCGUUGUUCGGAUUCACUGGGCGUAAAGGGUGCGCAGGUGGCUGUGUAAGUUUGAUGUGAAAUCUCCGGGCUCAACCCGGAAAUGGCAUUGAAUACUACAUGGCUGGAGGUUUGGAGGGGGGACUGGAAUUCUCGGUGUAGCAGUGAAAUGCGUAGAUAUCGAGAGGAACACCAGUGGCGAAGGCGAGUCCCUGGACAACACCUGACACUGAGGAGCGAAAGCCAGGGGAGCAAACGGG